UGUAAAUGCUCGUGCAACCACGUGGCCUUAUUUCUCUGGUAAAUAUCUCUCCUCCUUCCUCUCUCCCUCAUACACACCAACAGCCUACACAUAAACCCUCAUCUUUUUCUCUCGGAGCUCUACCUUGCAUCUCUGGUUCGCUCUACCUCUGCUACACCGUCACACCGGAGGAGAUCGAGAUGAUGAUUUCCGAAGUCGAUUCCGACGACAACGCCCACGUCGAUCUGAAUGGUUGGUCUCUCUCUCUCUCUCUCUCUCUUUCUCUCUCUCUGAUGGUUGGUUUCUCAGUGUUUCAUCCGUAGUCAAAGUGGAUGGAUUGGGAAGAACUGUGCGUAGGGCUAUUUAACUUGCAAAGCUCUGCUUCCUAUCUCACUCACCACUGGUCACUCUGAUGAAAAAAUACAUGUACACAUCUGUCAGUGAACAAGGGUUUUCUAGCCUUGGAAGAUCCAUCGAAGCAUACUUCGAAUCUUCGCUUGUAGAAAGCCAAAACGAGGCUCAAAGCAGGACUUAGAAGGUUGGAGAACUACUAUAUCAAAGGUUAUAAUUAACGUUUCUUGACCUCUUUUUUUUGAUCGGCUUCUUAACCCAUGCUAUACAAUUGCCAAAGGCUUCUUCCUACCUCAAGGGUCUUAAGUUUCUUUUGUUCCCAGCACAAUCUUCCUUUUUUAAUUCAAAAGUGUUACUACAUGGUAGCUAAUUAGAACCCGUAAAACAGGAUUAAAGUUGAAAAAUGAAAUAGAGCUUAGUUUGUGGAAUCGUUUUCAAAUGAUCCAUGUAGAGGCCUCUUUAGUUUGUGUAGAUUACAAGGUUGUUUCUGGACUAAGUGACACAGCCUCAAAAAGGGAUACGCCAAACUGGUUCUCUCUUUGUAUAGAUGUGUAGUUUAGUAUCGUUAUCUUUGUCAUUAAAGAUCUAUCUAAUCCUUUAUCGUAACUUGUAAGUAAAAGAGCGUUGCGGCCAAUUUCAUUGGUUGGCACUUUUUGUCCGAUUUUCCAAUUGUGUCCCUCAAUUGGCAGCCCUCUGCCUUUGCCAUGAGGGGCAAUUCCGUCCAUCUGACUUCACGUCCUUGUGGACAACUUACAACCACGUUGCAAAAAAACUUCCCUUUCCAAAAAAACUGUUUGCGUCUCUUGUUCUCUCUCGCUCAGAACACACACGAACAUACAUAGUGAAGAAGGAGAUCAACAUGUUUGCAGAGAGAG